CCGACUCGUAUAAUUGAAGCACAAUUAUAAUCUAAGACAUUCUAUUCAUUUACCAUUUCUCUCUCUAACCCUAAAUUUCAACCCUUCAUCUCAGACUUCGGCUAUUGCAGCUCCUCCAACCGCCCAAAUCUUCCUGAUGUCAAUUUUGAGCUUGUAGUCACUCAUUGCUGUAACUCUUUCGAUUUCUACUCAAUUGCUCUUUAUCUGGUCAAAUUCUCACAAUCCAUUUUCUUCAUUGUUCUUUAUCAUCAUUAUCUUCGUGUUAUUUCUUCCAUUGAAAUCUUAGCAUUUGAUUGAAUUAAAAAAAGUAUGGUCUCUCCAUUUGUACAAGAACUAGAUUGUUAAGGUAAUGGAUGAUUGUUUUUAGUUUCUUGAAUUUUUCCCUAUUUUUGUUUGUGAAUAACAUCUUUUAGGGACUUACAUUCAGUUGCUUUUUGUUGCUGGUACAAAAAUAUAUUCUUAUCUUAUUUGCAUUUUUUUUGUACUAAUCAUGAUAAAAUUCAUGAUAUUUGGACAUUUAUUUUUCCUUCUCCUAUUUGCCUUAUGAAUUGUUAUAAAAAAUUCUACGAGUUGCAUAUUUGUCAUUUAUAUUGUAUUUACUAUUUAUUUUUCUUUAUCAUUGUUCAAAACAUAAUACUUUCGACGAGUAGAGUUAUUUGAACGUACUUUUGAUGAUAUAUGACGUAAUAUUUUUGUGUAAUUAACAUGAAUUCAAAUAAUAAUUCUAGGUAACUUGUGAUUAAUCUUCAACUCUUGUACCUUCUGGCUGAGUAUGGACCAAGGUUAGAUUAGAAAUGCCUUUCAAAAUUAGUCUUUGAGAUUUAGUCUACUUUUAAGCAUCUCCAACCCAUACAUAGGCUAGAUUAGAAAUGCCUAUCAGAAUUAGUAUUUCUGUUGAAAAUUUUUGAAGGUUUGGGUUUAGACUAUGAUUAUUAAAACUAAUAAUCUGCAUUGACUAAUUUUGGGGAAACACUAGAGCUAUAUAUACACGAACCUAGUGGUUUUAGACUAGUGAUCAAUCUUUACAUGAGUUCGAAACUUUUCCAACAACGGAACACUAAUUACCGAUUAUUUUGAAUCAACAUCCUAACAUCCCAAAUGAGACCAACGGAGUUGUGCAAGGACAAAUACCCAGUAUCAUGAGAAUUUUAUGUUAUCGAAUUAUAUAAGAGGAGGUAGUUUGAGGAUAGCUGCGUAGGGCAUGUUGCAAAAAUGUAGGAGUUCAAACCAAUUGCUGGAGGAUAUUGUUCGUGAAAGUAAAAAGAAGGCAUUGCAUAGUUUGAUUGAUCCAGCAUCCGACGGUGAUGCCCUCAUUGACAAUCCCCCAAAAGAUGAUGCUCUAUCGUCAUGUAGGCCUCGAUUCUUGAUACCUAAGAUGCCAGUGCAAGCUCAAAGACACUAUACAUAUGCAACAAUCGUAAAAGUGGUAAGAGACUGAUUUCGAGUUUGUUUUGUCCAAAGAUGAGAGUCUACUUGCGCAAGUAUCUCAGCUCAGCAACUUGAAGUUCAUUAAGACGAUCCUACAGAAUUUGCAUUCAGGUUAGAAAUCGAACUUCCAAAGAUCUUAUCUCUAUUUACUGGCCAAUUUGCCUGACAUUCAACUUUUAGCCCAACUCAAUCAACAACUUCUGUUCCGAUGAUACGUGCAUCUGAAUACCAUUGCUAUUAAGCUCGACUCCUUACAAUAGGAGUGGUAGGAAGAGAGGAAAGAACAUGAAGUAAUAGGACUUUCUUGAUUGGAAAAACAAUGUGAAACAUUUUGAACUUGUUAUUUGUGUUAUUUUGAAAGUUUUUACAUUCAUGUCUUGUUUUUGUAUUUAUUUGAAAAACUAUUUAGCUCAAUUGUCAUAUAUGUGUAGUUCAUGUUAUUUGUGCAAAUA